rnacentral:rRNA from 1 species
GAUGAACGCUGGCGGCGUGCCUAAUACAUGCAAGUCGAGCGAACAGAUAAGGGGCUUGCUCCUUUGACGUUAGCGGCGGACGGGUGAGUAACACGUGGGUAACCUACCUAUAAGACUGGAAUAACUCCGGGAAACCGGGGCUAAUGCAGGAUAACAUGUUGAACCGCAUGGUUCUACAGUGAAAGGCGGCUUUGCUGUCACUUAUAGAUGGACCCGCGCCGUAUUAGCUAGUUGGUGAGGUAACGGCUCACCAAGGCAACGAUACGUAGCCGACCUGAGAGGGUGAUCGGCCACACUGGAACUGAGACACGGUCCAGACUCCUACGGGAGGCAGCAGUAGGGAAUCUUCCGCAAUGGGCGAAAGCCUGACGGAGCAACGCCGCGUGAGUGAUGAAGGUCUUCGGAUCGUAAAACUCUGUUAUUAGGGAAGAACAAAUGCGUAAGUAACUGUGCGCGUCUUGACGGUACCUAAUCAGAAAGCCACGGCUAACUACGUG